AAAAUUAUAUUACAUUACUUGAAAUACAAAACAUACAAAAUUUAAAGUGAUUGAAAUAAUACAAUGUUUAGUUGAAGAAGAAUAAUUAUGUGAGAGAGAAAGAGAGUAUAACGGAGGGUUGGAAUUUUUUUUUUUCUUGUGCAGUAUUUAGCCACUAAAAACAGGACACCUGGCCUUAAGGAGCGAUGUUUCUGCUGCUUCAAUAAGGGGCGUUCCUAAUAAUUAUACCACAUUUACAUUUAUUUUUAAUCAUUUAAUUCUUAUGAACCCCUCUAAUUUUAGUUUUAG
rnacentral:lncRNA from 1 species